rnacentral:tRNA from 1 species
GGGCGUUUAGCUCAGUUGGUUAGAGCGUUGCAUUCACAUUGCAAAGGUCACUGGUUCGAAUCCAGUAACGCCCA